GGGGAUUUAGCUCAGUGGUAGAGUACUUGCCUAGCAAGCACAAGGCCCUGGGUUCGAUCCUCAGCUCCG
rnacentral:tRNA from 1 species